rnacentral:rRNA from 1 species
GUGGAUAAUCUGCCCUUCGGCGGGGGACAACAGUCCGAAAGGAUUGCUAAUACCGCAUACGUCGGCGAGGUCUUCGGAUCUUGUCGGGAAAGAUGGCCUCUUCAUGAAAGCUAUCACCGAAGGAUGAGUCCGCGUCCCAUCAGCUAGUUGGCGGGGUAAUGGCCCACCAAGGCUUAGACGAGUAGCUGGUCUGAGAGGAUGAUCAGCCACACUGGAACUGAGACACGGUCCAGACUCCUACGGGAGGCAGCAGUGGGGAAUAUUGGGCAAUGGGCGCAAGCCUGACCCAGCCAUGCCGCGUGAGUGAUGAAGGCCUUCGGGUCGUAAAGCUCUGUGGGGAGGGAAGAAACCCCGUACAGCUAAUAUCUGUGCGGAUUGACGGUACCUCCUUAGCAAGCACCGGCUAACUCCGUGCCAGCAGCCGCGGUAAUACGGAGGGUGCAAACGUUGCUCGGAAUCAUUGGGCGUAAAGCGCACGUAGGCGGUUUGUUAAGUCGGAUGUGAAAGCCCUCGGCUCAACCGAGGAAGUGCAUACGAAACUGGCGAACUUGAAUAUGGAAGAGGGUCGCGGAAUU